GCGUCUGAUUAGCUAGAUGGUGGGGUAACGGCUUACCAUGGCGACGAUCAGUAGUCGGCCUGAGAGGGUGACCGGCCACAUUGGGACUGAGACACGGCCCAAACUCCUACGGGAGGCAGCAGUGGGGAAUCUUCCGCAAUGGGCGAAAGCCUGACGGAGCAACGCCGCGUGAUCGAAGAAGGCCUUCGGGUUGUAAAGAUCUGUUGACAGGGACGAAUAAGCAAUGCGAAUAGUUUUGUGUAUGACGGUACCUGUUUAGAAAGCUCCGGCUAACUACGUGCCAGCAGCCGCGGUAAUACGUAGGGAGCAAGCGUUGUCCGGAAUUACUGGGCGUAAAGGGCGCGUAGGUGGGCGCUUAAGUCAGGUGUGAAAACUCCGGGCUCAACCUGGAGACUGCACUUGAAACUGGGUGUCUUGAGGGCAGGAGAGGAAAGUGGAAUUCCUAGUGUAGCGGUGAAAUGCGUAGAUAUUAGGAGGAACACCAGUGGCGAAGGCGACUUUCUGGACUGUACCUGACGCUGAGGCGCGAAAGCGUGGGUAGCGAACGGGAUUAGAUACCCCGGUAGUCCACGCCGUAAACGAUGAAUACUAGGUGUAGGAGGUAUCGACUCCUUCU
rnacentral:rRNA from 1 species